AUUGAACGCUGGCGGAAUGCUUUACACAUGCAAGUCGAACGAUGAACCUUAGCUUGCUAAGGGGAUUAGUGGCGAACGGGUGAGUAAUAUAUCGGAACGUAUCCAUUAAUGGGGGAUAACUAGUCGAAAGAUUGGCUAAUACCGCAUACGUCCUACGGGAGAAAGCUAGGGACCUUCGGGCCUGGCGUUAAUGGAGCGGCCGAUAUCUGAUUAGCUAGUUGGUGAGGUAAAGGCUCACCAAGGCGACGAUCAGUAGCUGGUCUGAGAGGAAGACCAGCCACACUGGAACUGAGACACGGUCCAGACUCCUACGGGAGGCAGCAGUGGGGAAUUUUGGACAAUGGGCGAAAGCCUGAUCCAGCCAUUCCGCGUGAGUGAAGAAGGCCUUCGGGUUGUAAAGCUCUUUCGCAAGGGAAGAAAACUUACCCUCUAACAGAGGGUGAGGUUGACGGUACCUUGAUAAGAAGCACCGGCUAACUACGUGCCAGCAGCCGCAGUAAGAC
rnacentral:rRNA from 1 species